UACAGAGGUCCCAAGCGUUGUUCGGAUUCACUGGGCGUAAAGGGUGCGUAGGUGGUGGGGUAAGUCGGAUGUGAAAGCUCGGAGCUCAACUCCGAAAUGGCAUUGGAAACUACCCUGCUAGAGGAUUGGAGGGGGGACUGGAAUACUUGGUGUAGCAGUGAAAUGCGCAGAUAUCAGGAGGAACACCGGUGGCGAAGGCGGGUCUCUGGGCCGUAACUGACGCUGAGGAGCGAAAGCGUGGGGAGCGAACAGG
rnacentral:rRNA from 1 species